rnacentral:rRNA from 1 species
UAACGAAUCUUCCGCAAUGGGCGCAAGCCUGACGGAGCAAUGCCGCGUGUGGGAUGAAGCGUCUCUGACGUGUAAACCACUGUCAGGGGUUGGAACCAAUGAUCGACCCCAGAGGAAGUGGCGACUAACUCUGUGCCAGCAGUCGCGGUAAUACAGAGGCCACAAGCGUUAGUCGGAAUCACUGGGCUUAAAGGGUGCGUAGGUGGGCCUGUAAGUGUUCUGUGAAAGCCCUCAGCUCAACUGAGGAACA